UUCGCAAUGCCCGAAAGGGUGACGAAGCGACACCGCGUGUGGGAAGAAGGCCUUCGGGUUGUAAACCACUGUUGGGAGUUAGGAAGUGUGGAGGUGUUAAUAGCGCUUUCACUUGACUAAAGCUCCAGAGGAAGCCACGGCUAACUCUGUGCCAGCAGCCGCGGUAAUACAGAGGCGGCAAGCGUUGUUCGGAAUUAUUGGGCGUAAAGAGCACGUAGGCGGCUCUGCAAGUCAGCUGUGAAAGCCUUCUGCUUAACGGAAGAACGGCAGUUGAAACUACAGGGCUUGAGUGCGGGAGGGGAGAGUGGAACUUCUGGUGGAGCGGUGAAAUGCGUAGAUAUCAGAAGGAACGCCGGCGGCGAAAGCGACUCUCUGGCCCGUAACUGACGCUGAGUGUGCGAAAGCUAGGGGAGCAAACGGGAUUAGAUACCCCGGUAGUCCUAGCCGUAAACGAUGGGCACUAAGUAGAGGGGUUUU
rnacentral:rRNA from 1 species